rnacentral:rRNA from 1 species
UCCAGACUCCUACGGGAGGCAGCAGUGAGGAAUAUUGGUCAAUGGGCGAGAGCCUGAACCAGCCAAGUCGCGUGAGGGAAGACGGUCCUAUGGAUUGUAAACCUCUUUUGUCGGGGAGCAAAAAGGCCUCGUGAGGCCACAAGCGAGAGUACCCGAAGAAAAAGCAUCGGCUAACUCCGUGCCAGCAGCCGCGGUAAUACGGAGGAUGCGAGCGUUGUCCGGAUUUAUUGGGUUUAAAGGGUGCGUAGGCGGACUGGAAAGUCAGCGGUAAAAUUGCGGGGCUCAACCCCGUACUGCCGUUGAAACUGCAUCCCUUGAGUGCGCGAGAAGUAUGCGGAAUGCGUGGUGUAGCGGUGAAAUGCAUAGAUAUCACGCAGAACUCCGAUUGCGAAGGCAGCAUACCGGCGCGCAACUGACGCUCAUGCACGAAAGCGUGGGUAUCGAACAGGAUUAGAUACCCCGGUA